rnacentral:misc_RNA from 1 species
CUGCGAGUUCGCGGGAGAGUAGGUUAUUGCCAGGGUUUUUAUUUUUACGCUUUAAGUCUUGAUUUUAUAUUUAUGUUUUUUAAAUAUUAGUGUUUUUGGAUGUAUUAUUUAGGUAGCAUAAAAAGUAAAAUAUAUGUUGACAUGGAUUAAACAUAGAUAGAUAUGUGUAUCUAUCUAUUAUUUUAUGCUGCAUAAGCAAAUUGGCAAAAUAGAGAUGGAAGAUAAAAAUAUGGUCAAAGUAAUAAGAGUCUAUGGUGAAUGCCUAGGA